rnacentral:rRNA from 1 species
AGGUUAAUGAGGCGAACCGGGGGAACUGAAACAUCUAAGUACCCCGAGGAAAAGAAAUCAACCGAGAUUCCCCCAGUAGCGGCGAGCGAACGGGGAGCAGCCCAGAGCCUGAAUCAGUGUGUGUGUUAGUGGAAGCGUCUGGAAAGGCGCGCGAUACAGGGUGACAGCCCCGUACACAAAAAUGCACAUGCUGUGAGCUCGAUGAGUAGGGCGGGACACGUGGUAUCCUGUCUGAAUAUGGGGGGACCAUCCUCCAAGGCUAAAUACUCCUGACUGACCGAUAGUGAACCAGUACCGUGAGGGAAAGGCGAAAAGAACCCCGGCGAGGGGAGUGAAAAAGAACCUGAAACCGUGUACGUACAAGCAGUGGGAGCACGCUUAGGCGUGUGACUGCGUACCUUUUGUAUAAUGGGUCAGCGACUUAUAUUCUGUAGCAAGGUUAACCGAAUAGGGGAGCCGAAGGGAAACCGAGUCUUAACUGGGCGUUAAGUUGCAGGGUAUAGACCCGAAACCCGGUGAUCUAGCCAUGGGCAGGUUGAAGGUUGGGUAACACUAACUGGAGGACCGAACCGACUAAUGUUGAAAAAUUAGCGGAUGACUUGUGGCUGGGGGUGAAAGGCCAAUCAAACCGGGAGAUAGCUGGUUCUCCCCGAAAGCU